AUUGGCAAGUAUGCCCUCCAACUUUGUGUGUGCACAAGUAGGACCUCAACUUGUAUAAAGUUGGAACACGUAACACAAAUGCUGACGUAGCACUGAUAUGGCACAUUUAUUUUGGAGUGUUCAAUUGAUAAAGUGGAGACAAGUUGAGUUGCCUGCUUGUGCACAGCCAAAGUUGGAGGGCAUACUUGCCAGCUGAGGCCAAGUUUGAAGGCCUGUUUAUGUAUUAUGCCUAUAUUUUGGGUUGAUGAUGUUGGCAGACAGAUCAAAUACAUGCCAAGAUUUAGUCAAUCGUAGAAGGGACGCAGGGAUGUGUACGAUUAUGCCGAUCAUGAACAUGAUUUUCCUCCUGCUCUAUUUUUGUGAGUUUUUUUUCUUCUGCUAUACUACAUGUGGUUACUAUGCCAUCCAUUGUAUUAGUCUCUGAAACUAUAUUUUGAAUCAACUAAAGAACAGGAUAAUGUUAAUAUUUGUCGAGUGUUUACUUUUCCUUGACAUGUCUUUAUGUGUUUGACACUUUAAAGAAGGAAAAAAAAUUAUGGGCAUCAUCAUGGAGAGUGCAGCGGCAUGGCUUAGUUCAUAAAGAUUUGUGUAAUAACAAUGGAUCAAUUUUCCAAGAAGAGAAUGUGUUUGAUAUAGUAGCUUAUGCACUACAAAUUCUACGAAUAAAACAGUAAUUGUCGAAGUAAUAGGCUGUGGACAGUAUUAUGGCAUUCACAGAUGUCAUUGAGCUUUAGUAUCGUCGAGCAUUUUUUUAUUUUUCGUUUUUGCACAAAUCAAAGAGGUUAUAGUCUAAUGAGAAACAAUUACCAAAUAAAAAAUUUAAAACAAUACAUGACAUACAUUGGUUGUAAGUUGCAGGAUUUCCUGGUUUUCUAUAGUUCAGUUGGCACUGGCAUGGAUAUGGUAAAAAGGUCUAUCAAACUCUAGACAUAGUUCAAGAGGAUAUUUAAGCUAGGAAACUAUUAGUUCAGUUUGCAAUAAAUAAAUGUUGACAAUUAAAUCUCAUGGUACUGAAUUCCUAAUCUUUUGUUCGUAUUAUAAGUGAAGUGCAAAUUUUAUAAUUCAGACUGACCAUUGAUAUAGGGUCCCAAUUUAAAUGACGCCAAACUUUCAAAGCGUCUCCGCCGAGUUCCUCCUUGCUUCGCUCACUGGUUUGUCAUAUAAACUCCUAACUAUUAUUUUUUCUUUAGUAAAAUUCAAAACGGUAAGUUCCUCUUUCUGUCUAGCUAAUUGCUAUCCCUUUUACUUGGGAUACCCACUAAAAAUAGCCAAUCAAUAUGUUGUUCUUGUUUUGUCCUCUGGUGAAACACGACUCUCAAAGAAAGAACAAAUCAAAAGAGAAGCAGCACCUGGAACAAUAGAAAGAAGGUAAACACUGCUAUUCGAGAUAAUUAUUUUUAAUAAAUUUUCUCAGUUAUGUUUGACUAUCAAGUUUAAUUAUAUGAUUCUCAUGGUUUUAACUUCGUGCCUCUUAGAUUUCUUUCCUCCAAGGAAAUGUAAGUUAAUUGCUUGACAUGCUGAACUCUAAGCAGUAUAUGCAGUUUAUCAUUUUAAUUUUACAUUUUUACCAUCCUAAAAGUAUUGGCUGGCGACCUGAAUAAUUUGGGAUUGACGCAUAUUUAUAGAAUCCAAAAACUGCUGCAUGUAGGGUAAGAUCUUUUGGAGCAUAUAUAUCUGGCUCUAUAGGCGCUUGUGCCUGUGCAUGUAAGUAAAUCUACAUAUAUCAAGUUGGUGAUUUUUUUCCAAUUGGAUGUGCAGCUGGAUCCUAUUGUAAGUCCGACGACAAUUUCUUUUAUUUACCUUGGUAUUAUUCCUUGAUAAAUUUACAGCGAAAAGGUACUUACUGAUAAUUUUAAGUUUUCAAUUUUAGUGUGUGUUACUGAAACUGACUUUUAGUUGCAGUAAUACUCAACAACAAAAUUUCUGAAAUUAGGGCUGGUACUCCGUACAUUGGAUAUACAUCUAAGAAACAUGCUCUGUCGAUAUCUCCAUGAUGCAGAACAGUAACUUGAGUGCAAAUUUGUGAAAAAGCCGAUGUCGGUGCAUCCAAAUUUCUGAAUUAUUAUAAUUAUGCAGUUGAGUUAAUUUUCUUACUUCAUAUAGGAAACUCGAACCGGAUGAUUCACGGUUACCCACUUACCCUCCAACAGAUGUUUGAUAGGACUUGGAAUGCAUUGCCACUAUGUAUUACAGCUAAUGAGAAUGAAUGGGGUGUUUAUGGUAUUCUAAUGCAGGUUAAUGCUUUUGUGAAUAUUCUUUCUGGGGGUUGCACAUGUCUGGUCUAUGUGGUACAAAAAUGAAGAUGAAGUGGGUGUAAAAUCUGCUGAAGAACACACCAAAACAUGUUGAGAUGGUUUGAGAAGCAUCCCUAGUACUUCGAAAUGCCUCCUUGCUAUGUGGUUUCUGGAAUAGCGAAGGUCGGCUACUAAGUUGGGGACUAUAGCUCUAGCUCAUUUGAAAUGAUCAAUCAAGAAAUGCUUGAAGAUGCAUUUUAUAUAUAAUUUUUGGAUAUUAUUACUACUAUAUUAGAAAUGAGAAUGUUGGGGUUUUGUCGUCCUCACAAACUUGUAUCCCCCAUUGAAAGCUUGACAUGUGUUGUCCAACUUUUAGAUUUAUUGUCCCAUUUUAUUUUUCCCUUGAGUUAAUUUCAUAUUGCUUCAAUUGCCACCAUGUAAUUUUGUAAACAAGAUCAACUUUUGAGACAUUUUGUAAGGCUCAUAUUACAAUUUCCAACUCCUCUUGUGCUACU